AUACUACCUGGCAGGGGAGAUACCAUGAUCACUUUAAAGGUGGUUCUCCCAGGGCGGGCUCAUCCAUUGCACCCGGGUUGGGUUUACCUCGCGAUUUCCCAAAUGCGGGAAACCUCACUGCAUAAUUUGGUAGUGGGGACUGCGCUCAGCCUCUCCCCG